AUAGAGUAAUAAUUUAGGUGGACACUAGGUUAUUCUUCUUGCACAUACACACACUCUCUCCAUCACUCACGCACACUCUCUCUCUCUCAUUACGGUGGAACAGCAGCUGCCAUUGUUGAACCGCCUGCUCCUUCACCUUCUCCAGAAAACAGGAAAACUGGCUUGACUUUUAGGCACCAAGAGGGAGAUAUGGCCAAGAAGAAAAACCCAUUUGUUUUUUUGGAUGUGUCUAUUGAUGGAGAUCCAUUUGAGAGGAUGGUUUUUGAGCUCUUUACUGAUGCAGCUCCAAAGACUGCAGAAAAUUUUCGUGUGUUAUGUACAGGAGAGAAGGGAGUUGGCCCCAAGUUAAGGAAGCCCUUGCACUACAAAGGGACCUUUUUCCAUCGGAUAGUGAAGGGUUUUAUGGCUCAGGGUGGAGAUCUCCUCAGAAAAGAGGGUUCAGCUGGGGAAAGUAUUUACGGGGACAGAUUUCCAGGUGUUUACAUCUCAUGGCGGACGAUCAGGACCGUAUUUGUGUCGAGGAUGUAGAGGAUGAUGAUGAUGAUUUCACUGAGGAUGAGGGCGAGCUGUAUGAUGUGAACAAGGAGCCUGAUUAGGUUUCUGAGUCGAUUGGUGAGAACCCUACUUCCCACACUCAAAGCCACGGACAAAGUGGAGGGGGGGUGAAGGCACCGGCUAAGAAAAAGGCGAGGGGUCUGACGACAAGUUU